rnacentral:lncRNA from 1 species
CCACACCUCUCAAAUAUUAUGCAGACAUUCCAAAAUAAAUCCACCAUUCAGCUGCAAAAGCAAAAUUACAUAUCCAAUUUCAUGAUAUUAUUAGGCAUAUGAUGUCAAUCUAUGAUGCUUAUUAUUGAUAUGUAAUUUUUCUGGAUUCAUCUUCUUUUUACUUAUGACAGCUGAUGGGACUCCAAAACUGUCUGAUCCCUCUCUAAACUGUUUCAUCUAUAAAAAAUAUGUGUAUUAAAUUUAUAAAUAUAUCGUUGAGUAC